UACGUAGGGGGCGAGCGUUGUCCGGAUUUACUGGGCGUAAAGCGCGUGUAGGCGGCGAUUUAAGUCGGGUGUGAAAGCCCGGGGCUCAACCCCGGAGCGCCGCCCGAGACUGGGUCGCUUGAGGUCGGAAGAGGGGAGUGGAAUUCCAGGUGUAGCGGUGAAAUGCGUAGAGAUCUGGAGGAACACCCGUGGCGAAGGCGGCUCCCUGGUCCGAUUCUGACGCUGAGACGCGAAAGCGCGGGGAGCGAACGGG
rnacentral:rRNA from 1 species